GUCUUCAUGGCUUAGUUGGUUACAGCACCGGUCUCACGUCAUAAAUAUGACCCGCUCAUAGAGUCGGGAUACCCGGGGGUCGCGAGUUCGACUCUCGCUGAGGACA